rnacentral:rRNA from 1 species
GAUGAACGCUGGCGGCGUGCCUAAUACAUGCAAGUCGAGCGAACGGACGAGAAGCUUGCUUCUCUGAUGUUAGCGGCGGACGGGUGAGUAACACGUGGAUAACCUACCUAUAAGACUGGGAUAACUUCGGGAAACCGGAGCUAAUACCGGAUAAUAUUUUGAACCGCAUGGUUCAAUAGUGAAAGACGGUCUUGCUGUCACUUAUAGAUGGAUCCGCGCUGCAUUAGCUAGUUGGUAAGGUAACGGCUUACCAAGGCAACGAUGCAUAGCCGACCUGAGAGGGUGAUCGGCCACACUGGAACUGAGACACGGUCCAGACUCCUACGGGAGGCAGCAGUAGGGAAUCUUCCGCAAUGGGCGAAAGCCUGACGGAUCAACGCCGCGUGAGUGAUGAAGGUCUUCGGAUCGUAAAACUCUGUUAUUAGGGAAGAACAUAUGUGUAAGUAACUGUGCACAGCUUGACGGUACCUAAUCAGAAAGCCACGGCUAACUACGUG